rnacentral:lncRNA from 1 species
GCAGAGUCUGCUUUCUCAGGUCCUGGCUCCUUAAUAUGAACAUGCCUAACUUCAUGCUACUCGUGUGUGCAUCACCCCAUUUGAAGGUAAUGAGGAGUUUUCAAUGGCAUUCUUGAACCACACUCUGUACGGACAGCCGGGACUGAAGCUUACCCCCACCUUCCAGAGGGUGUGUGUUGAGUGUAACUUGUGCACAGAAACACACACGCUUUCUCCCUCUAGCCAAGCUCAAAUUAACCAAGAGCCUAGGAAUGUAACUCUUGUUCCAGAAUUCAAUCAGCCAUCUCCCUUCUUUUAAGUGUUUGGCUUCUGUUGAGAAAAAGAUUUAAGGCAAACCUAAUCCUGACCCGUUUCAGGAACUUGACUAUGGAUCAUAUAAUCCCCCAAAUCCACCUCUUCCUACAUGAGAGAGGUUUCUAAUCCUUGUUAGAAGGAACCUCUCACCCAGAGAGCUGGCUUGGUACAGUCAACCCUUGAAUUUCCACAAAAAAAAUUGAGGGUGAAGGCGAGGAAAAAAAGAGGCAUGUGUUCAUGAUGGGGAAGAGCAGCAGAGAUAAAAAUGUGCACUGUUCAGUUUUGUUUUGGGUUAUUUGCUGGGCUGUUUAAAGUGCCAGGUCUGGCUCUUAUACAAGUCUCAGCUCCAAUAAGCUGGCUGCAGGGGAGACUUCUUGUUACAAUUAUCCUCUAAGCAUAGCUAAGUCAUAAAAUCCAGGACUUUUCUGAUGUGAAAUGUGCAGGCUUUAAAAAUCAGUGUCACUGUCAACUGCUGCUGCCAGCAAAAUAAGUGAUUCACAUUGUGGCAGAAAACUCCCCCAGAGUGAAAGCUAAUGAGAACACAUACGGAGACUUCUGGAUGUCCAGUCGGAACCCCACACAACGGCAGCAUGGGGGCUGGCAUUUCAAAGGUCAGAAAUCAAACAGGGCUGAAAUCAAGGGGGAGAGAAUUCUCAGAAAAGACAUAGACUUGGCAAGGACUUCAUGGGCAAAGAAAUUCUCAUUGCAAACUCCCGUAAGAUAGCUUUGGUCCCUGCAACUUCUGAAUAAAGGUCUCCGUGAAACUGUCCCUGACCACUCCAUUUAAAAUUACAACCUUUCCCAAUCCCUAUCCUCUUGCUUUUUAAAUUUUUCUCCAGAGCAUUUACCAUCAGGUAAUAAACUAUAUGCUUUACUUAUUACUCUUUCCCCACCAGAAUGUAAGCUACAUGAUGGCUGGAAAUUACUUUUUGUCUGUUUUCCUCUCUGCACUAGGUGCUUAGCAUAUGCUGGGUGCAAAGUAUUUGUUGAAAGAAUGAACAUGUGUAUAAAAAUAGCCCCACAACAGCCCCUUGUGGUGAGGACUGUCAUCACCAUUUUACAGAUAAGAAAAUGGGAGAGCAGAGAUUUAAGUCUCAUGCUUUAGACCAGGGCUUCUUAAAUAUGAACAGACAAAGGAAUCCCUGGGGAUCUUGCUGAAGUGAAGGCUCUGACUCAGCAGGCCUGGGUGGGGCCUUAGUUCUGCAUGACCAUGCCUCAACUUCCAGGUAGUGCUAGAGCUGCUGGACAGCUACGCACCCAGACAAAAGGAUGGCGCAAGACCCUGCAAGUGGCUAAAGGAAAUCAAAAUGUUUUAUCCCAAAAUAGAUUUCUUUGACAUCAUUUGAAAUGGCUGCUGCUGGGCCAGCAGACAGAAGUGGCCUUGCAAAACUGUCUCUUGUGGGGAAAUUUUGCAUCUGUAGAGAAUCUCCUUGAAUGCAGCCAGCCCUUCUCUUUCCAGGCCUUUCCCAGAUCUAGGACAGAUUGAGUCUGACACCUUUACAAGUCUGAAAAGAAAUUCACCAUCUAUUCUCUCUAGGAGUUAUGACCUGGAAGGCUUCAUCUACAUAACAAUGCCACCUUUGCUA